AGAGUUUGAUCAUGGCUCAGAUUGAACGCUGGCGGCAGGCUUAACACAUGCAAGUCGAGCGGAUGAAAGUAGCUUGCUACUGGAUUCAGCGGCGGACGGGUGAGUAAUGCUUAGGAAUCUGCCUAUUAGUGGGGGACAACGUUCCGAAAGGAGCGCUAAUACCGCAUACGUCCUACGGGAGAAGGCAGGGGACCUUCGGGCCUUGCGCUAAUAGAUGAGCCUAAGUCGGAUUAGCUAGUUGGUAGGGUAAAGGCCUACCAAGGCGACGAUCUGUAGCGGGUCUGAGAGGAUGAUCCGCCACACUGGGACUGAGACACGGCCCAGACUCCUACGGGAGGCAGCAGUGGGGAAUAUUGGACAAUGGGGGGAACCCUGAUCCAGCCAUGCCGCGUGUGUGAAGAAGGCCUUUUGGUUGUAAAGCACUUUAAGCGAGGAGGAGGCUACCUAGAUUAAUACUUUAGGAUAGUGGACGUUACUCGCAGAAUAAGCACCGGCUAACUCUGUGCCAGCAGCCGCGGUAAUACAGAGGGUGCAAGCGUUAAUCGGAUUUACUGGGCGUAAAGCGCGCGUAGGUGGCCAAUUAAGUCAAAUGUGAAAUCCCCGAGCUUAACUUGGGAAUUGCAUUCGAUACUGGUUGGCUAGAGUAUGGGAGAGGAUGGUAGAAUUCCAGGUGUAGCGGUGAAAUGCGUAGAGAUCUGGAGGAAUACCGAUGGCGAAAGCAGCCAUCUGGCCUAAUACUGACGCUGAGGUACGAAAGCAUGGGGAGCAAACAGGAUUAGAUACCCUGGUAGUCCAUGCCGUAAACGAUGUCUACUAGCCGUUGGGGCCCUUGAGGCUUUAGUGGCGCAGCUAACGCGAUAAGUAGACCGCCUGGGGAGUACGGUCGCAAGACUAAACUCAAUGAAUUGACGGGGCCCGCACAGCGGUGGAGCAUGUGGUUUAAUUCGAUGCAACGCGUAGAACCUUACCUGGCCUUGAAAUACAGAGAACUUUCAGAGAUGGAUUGGUGCCUCGGAACCUCUGAAUACAGGUGCUGCAUGCUGUUCGUC
rnacentral:rRNA from 1 species